UUUCAGAUUCCUAGAGAUGGAUAUGCAAGUUUUCAGUGAAUGCAAAUCAGGUGAGCCCACCCUGGAAGAGGAACUGUUAGUUUUCACUGCCAUUCCUGUCCUGUUAGCAUUACCUACCUUAUCAAGCUGGAGAGGAAAAUGGAAAUAGCCCCAGAUGAAAAAGAAGUGAAGGGACUUACAGAAGGACUCUCGCGCAGCCGAGCAAGUAUCCAGAGUGGUGGUGGGAUUACUUUAAGGUGGCUAUGAACCCAGAUGUUCACCAAGCAUUGUCCAUAAACCU